rnacentral:rRNA from 1 species
CCUACGGGUGGCAGCAGUGAGGAAUAUUGGUCAAUGGACGAGAGUCUGAACCAGCCAAGUAGCGUGAAGGAUGACGGCCCGAUGGGUUGUAAACUGCGUUUAUAAAGGAAUAAAACGAGGCACGGGUGCCUUUUUGCAUGUACGGUAUGAAUAAGGAUCGGCUAACUCCGUGCCAGCAGCCGCGGUAAUACGGAGGAUCCGAGCGUUAGCCGGAUUUAUUGGGGUUAAAGGGAGCGUAGAGGGGUUGUUAAGUCAGUUGUGAAAGUUUGCGGCUCAACCGGAAAAUUGCAAGUGAUACUGGCAGUCUUUAGUACAGUUGCGGUAGGCUGAAUUCGUGGUGUAGCGG